rnacentral:lncRNA from 1 species
UAUGUUUUUAGGAGAAUUUUUAAAAGAGACAAGUAAUUACAGCUUCUAGAUAUCUGAUAAAAGUACAUUUUCCUAUUAUUUUUUUUGUUUUUUUCUUUUUUCAUUUUUCAUUUUUCAUUUUCGGCCUAACCGAUUUUUGGCCUGAAAUUUAAUAUUUGGGAUUAUCUUCAACAAUUCAUUUACAUGUAAAGUGGUUGUUUGAGCAUGUUUUAAUGUGAAUUUUUUUUUAAAAGCUUUAUUUUUUAAAAUUAAAAUAUAUUAAAAAUUAGAGUUGUAUUUAGCGAUUAAUAACAAAUUAGAAUUAUUUUUUUGACAGUUUUUGAGUAUUUUAAAG